rnacentral:tRNA from 1 species
GGAGAGAUGGCUCAGUGGUUAAGAGCACUGACUGUUCUUCCAGAGGUCCCGAGUUCAAUUCCCAGCAACCCCA